GGAAGUAAAAGCCGUAACAAGGUCUCCGUUGGUGAACCAGCGGAGGGAUCAUUACCGAGUUUACAACUCCCAAACCCCUGUGAACAUACCUGUUUUGUUGCUUCGGCGGUGCCCUCGCUCUCGCGGCGAGGCCCGCCAGAGGACCCAAACAAACUCUUUGACUUUGAUCUAGGAUUAUACUUCUGAGUGAUACAAAAAAUAAAAUCAAAACUUUCAACAACGGAUCUCUUGGUUCUG
rnacentral:misc_RNA from 1 species